UGACGUCAGAGGCGCGCACUUUCAGCGAAGUCGCAGGCGUGGGCCUUCCGCGACGUCACAGACGGUAUAGUGUCUGAAGUUGGUCAGUCUUCUGGCAGUGGAGCCUGGUAACCCCGACCUUCUCUUCAGGUCCUGUGUGUUGCUGGCUGGAGAAGGGUAGUUGACAAACUCCUACCCAGCACAGUGUUUAUGUGAGUCAAAAAUGGAAAACUGUGUCCGGUCUCUUACCAGCUGGAGUUUCGCUCUUGUCGCCCAUGCUGGAGUGCAAUGGUGUGAUCCUGGCUCACUGCAAUCUCUGCCUCCCAGACAUGGACUUAUGAAUUCAACAUGUGAAGAUUUACAAAUUGAUAAACAAGAUUUUCAGGAGGAAAUGAAGAAAAUGCAUGAGGCUCUCAGAUCAAAUGCUAUAACAAACGAAGUUAUUUUUUGCAUAGGAUAGUGUUUCCUGGAAGAUAUAUGCUAUCUCAGUCAAAUAAAGACAAAUCUGAUGAAUAUUUAU